CAGAUCCUCAAGCACGGCUUGUGUGAUGGGCUACAGCGUCUGCCGCCCGGCAGACGGGCUCUAAAUGCAGUGGCAGCGCAGCGCGAUCGGCCACGGUGCAUGGGAAUCUCUUGCACCGGUGGCGCGUACCUACGCUUGUCCGCCCCGACGGUUCCGUG
rnacentral:misc_RNA from 1 species